rnacentral:tRNA from 1 species
CAGCGAGUGGUUUAAGAGAAGAAUGUAAGUUUUGGGGAUUUGAGGUCCGUGUUAUCGGCUGGCUGA